ensembl:lncRNA
ACCAACUGAGUGGUUUAAAACAACAGAAAUGUCUUGUCUCUCAGUCCUGGAGGCAGGAAGUCUGAACCUGAGGUGUGGGUGGGGCCACGCUCCCUCUGGAGAUACUCAGGGAGACUGUCCUUUACUGUUCCAGCCUCUGGGGGCUCCAGGUGUUCCUUGUGGCCACAUCACUCCAGUCUCUGCCUCAGCGGCCACCUUGCCUCCUCCUCUGUGUGUCUGUCUUAUAAGGAUACAUGUGGCUACAUUUAAGACCCACCCAGAUAAUCUAGGAAACGCUCUUCCUUGCUCUUUUUUGCCUUAUCAGGUCAGGUUCCCAGGUUCCGGGGACUACUCUGUUGGCAUAUCCUUUUGGAGGCCUCCCUCUAAACCUCUCCAGUAUGGUAACUUACCCAGCUCUUACAUCAACCCUGAGAGGUGUAGCUACCAUGGUAGCCUUCUCAGACAUGGCCUGUAAAGUAGCUCUGAACCUAAGAGCGAUAGAACCCUGGACAAGUUCAUUAACCUCUGAGACUUCCUGCCUCAACUCUUAAAGAAGGGAGCCCAAGAAUGAACCAGACUAAUGAUGAGACAAACAGUAUUUUUCUAGCUCAGUUGCCACCUCAAAUUCCUGACAAAUACUUCUGGAGAGUUCCCAGGACGGACCUCAUGGAUGCUCUGUGGACCAGCUAGAUCUUUUCGCUGCAGGUUAGCCUAGGUUUCCUGUCCCUAAGAUGCACCAGAGGCUGCAAUAUCCACCUGCUGAUGCCUUUGCCAAAGGGUUCCCUAAGAAUCGUGGGCCAGAGGGGCUGCUGGACUGCCUAGAAGAGAG